GAGAUGUUGGGUUAAGUCCCGCAACGAGCGCAACCCUUGUCAUUAGUUGCUACGCAAGAGCACUCUAAUGAGACUGCCGGUGACAAACCGGAGGAAGGUGGGGAUGACGUCAAGUCCUCAUGGCCCUUAUGGGUAGGGCUUCACACGUCAUACAAUGGUACAUACAGAGGGCCGCCAACCCGCGAGGGGGAGCUAAUCCCAGAAAGUGUAUCGUAGUCCGGAUCGCAGUCUGCAACUCGACUGCGUGAAGUUGGAAUCGCUAGUAAUCGCGGAUCAGCAUGCCGCGGUGAAUACGUUCCCGGGUCUUGUACACACCGCCCGUCACACCAUGGGAGCGGGUUUUACCAGAAGUAGGUAGCUUAACCGUAAGGAGGGCGCUUACCACGGUAGGAUUCGUGACUGGGGUGAAGUCGUAACAAGGUAGCCGUAUCGGAAGGUGCGGCUGGAUCACCUCCUUU
rnacentral:rRNA from 1 species